rnacentral:tRNA from 1 species
AUCUCGGUGGUCUAAAGGCUUAGGACGCUCGCCCGAAAAGCAAGAAAUUUGGGUUCGACUCCCGGCUAAAGUA